ensembl:lncRNA
UAUUACUGGUUUGAUACAGAACACAAUAAUAUCUGUGACCCUAGCUGGCAGUGGUGGAGUGAUUAGAUGAUGACCUUGUAAUGAACCCAAUGUUGAUAUUUAAUUCACAUUAUUAUUUUAUAGAAAAAGAAAACACAGAAACAGGAGAGGAAGUUUGUUGCAUUGAUUCGUCGAUAUUGGGAGAAAAAGGAAUCACUGGAACUGGAUUGGAAUUUAACUGAAUUGGAUAAUCGAAUACGUGAGAUGGUAAGUGUUAUUACUGGUUUGAUACAGAACACAAUAACAUGUGUGAACCUAGCUGGCAGUGGUGGAGUUAUUAGAUGAUGACCAGAGGCUGAUUAACACCCAGGCUAGCCUCGGCUGAGCCUAGGGGCCCAGGUGUGCAAGGGGCCCUGGAUUGGACAGACUAUUUUCAAUUUUACUUAAAAUAAAAAAAGACUUGACUCCUAUUGGCCCAUAGCAAGAAAAAUUAAAAAGUGAAGCAGCUGAUUGGGUAGAUGUGUGGGCCAUGUCAUGUGACCAG